rnacentral:miRNA from 1 species
UCCAUUCAAAAGUAUGUAUUCUGACAAGGAUUACAAACGCAAAUAGAGAUUAAUCUCUAUUUGAGUUUGUAAUCCUCUAUUUGAGUUUGUAAUCCUUGUCAGAAUACAUACUUUUGAAUGGA